AUACGGGGGGUGCAAGCGUUAAUCGGAAUUACUGGGCGUAAAGCGCGCGUAGGCGGUUAAAUAAGUUGGAUGUGAAAUCCCCGGGCUCAACCUGGGAACUGCAUUCAAAACUGUUUAACUAGAGUAUGGUAGAGGGAAGUGGAAUUCCAGGUGUAGCGGUGAAAUGCGUAGAUAUCUGGAGGAACAUCAGUGGCGAAGGCGACUUCCUGGAUCAAUACUGACGCUGAGGUGCGAAAGCGUGGGGAGCAAACAGGAUUAGAUACCCGAGUAGUCC
rnacentral:rRNA from 1 species